GACGAACGCUGGCGGCGUGCUUAACACAUGCAAGUCGUACGGUAAGGCCCUGCCGGUGUUACACGCGUGGCGGACGAGCGAGUAAGACGUGAGUAACCAGCCCACAACUUUCGGAUAAAGCACUUAAACUGGUUCGAAUUCUGGAUAUGUGCUACUGCUGCCUGGAUGGGGUUGGAAAGCACCGGCCGGUGUGGGUGGACUCGCGGGCUAUCAGCUUGUUGGUUGGGGAGGUGCCUACCAAGGAGGCGACGGGUAGGCGGCCUGGGAGGGGGAGCGGCCAAAAUGGGAACUAGAUACGGCCCAGACUCCUACGGGAGGCAGCGGUGGGGAAUAUUGCACAAUGGGCGGAAGCCUGAUGCAGCAACGCCGCGUGCGGGAUGACGGGCUUCGGGUUGUAAACCGCUUUCAGCAGGGACGAAGCCUUUUGUGACGGUACCUGCAGAAGAAGCACCGGCUAACUACGUG
rnacentral:rRNA from 1 species